rnacentral:rRNA from 1 species
CCUACGGGGGGGCAGCAGUGGGGAAUUUUGGACAAUGGGCGCAAGCCUGAUCCAGCCAUGCCGCGUGCGGGAAGAAGGCCUUCGGGUUGUAAACCGCUUUUUGUCAGGGAAGAAAAGGUUCUGGAUAAUACCUGGGACUCAUGACGGUACCUGAAGAAUAAGCACCGGCUAACUACGUGCCAGCAGCCGCGGUAAUACGUAGGGUGCAAGCGUUAAUCGGAAUUACUGGGCGUAAAGCGUGCGCAGGCGGUUAUGCAAGACAGAGGUGAAAUCCCCGGGCUCAACCUGGGAACUGCCUUUGUGACUGCAUAGCUAGAGUACGGUAGAGGGGGAUGGAAUUCCGCGUGUAGCAGUGAAAUGCGUAGAUAUGCGGAGGAACACCGAUGGCGAAGGCAAUCCCCUGGACCUGUACUGACGCUCAUGCACGAAAGCGUGGGGAGCAAACAGGAUUAGAUACCCUGGUAGUCCACGCCCUAAACGAUGUCAACUGGUUGUUGGGAGGGUUUCUUCUCAGUAACGUAGCUAACGCGUGAAGUUGACCGCCUGGGGAGUACGGCCGCAAGGUUGAAACUCAAANAGAGUAGAGCGNGAGAGNGCGAGACGACGACGAGGAGGAGG